AUACGUAGGGGGCGAGCGUUGUCCGGAAUUACUGGGCGUAAAGGGUGCGUAGGCGGUCUGUUAAGUCAGAUGUGAAACUCCAUGGCUCAACUGUGGGCUUGCAUAUGAAACUGGCAAACUAGAGUGCAGGAGAGGGAAGUGGAAUUCCUAGUGUAGCGGUGAAAUGCGUAGAGAUUAGGAGGAACACCAGUGGCGAAGGCGGCUUUCUGGCCUGUAACUGACGCUGAGGCACGAAAGCGUGGGGAGCGAACAGGAUUAGAUACCCUGGUAGUCCACGCCGUAAACGAUGGAUACUAGGUGUAGGGGGCAUUAAGCCUUCUGUGCCGCAGUUAACGCAAUAAGUAUCCCGCCUGGGGAGUACGGCCGCAAGGCUGAA
rnacentral:rRNA from 1 species